UUUUCUGUGAUGUUGUCGUGUUCUCUGAAAUGUUGUUGUGUUUUCUGUGAUGUUGUCGUGUUUUCUGAAAUGUUGUUGUGUUUUGCUCUGAGGGGCCACCAUAGUGAUCAGAGUGGACAGAGAUUCACAGACCACAGGAUUACAAAUAAGAUCCUGCCAGGCGUCAAAGAGAGCAGGAACCAGACAGGAGAAAUAACGGCUUUAGAGAACUUCAGCUCGAGUAACACAGGUACCAGGUGCUGUGGACGGGGAAUGUCAAAAGCUGGGCACUCAAUCUAGACCUGGAUUAGGAUUCAUUUCAGG